rnacentral:rRNA from 1 species
CGUAACAAGGUCUCCGUUGGUGAACCAGCGGAGGGAUCAUUACCGAGUUUACAACUCCCAAACCCCUGUGAACAUACCACUUGUUGCCUCGGCGGAUCAGCCCGCUCCCGGUAAAACGGGACGGCCCGCCAGAGGACCCCUAAACUCUGUUUCUAUAUGUAACUUCUGAGUAAAACCAUAAAUAAAUCAAAACUUUCAACAACGGAUCUCUUGGUUCUGGCAUCGAUGAAGAACGCAGCAAAAUGCGAUAAGUAAUGUGAAUUGCAGAAUUCAGUGAAUCAUCGAAUCUUUGAACGCACAUUGCGCCCGCCAGUAUUCUGGCGGGCAUGCCUGUUCGAGCGUCAUUUCAACCCUCAAGCACAGCUUGGUGUUGGGACUCGCGUUAAUUCGCGUUCCUCAAAUUGAUUGGCGGUCACGUCGAGCUUCCAUAGCGUAGUAGUAAAACCCUCGUUACUGGUAAUCGUCGCGGCCACGCCGUUAAACCCCAACUUCUGAAUGUGACCUCGGAUCAGG